CCUCUUCGGAGGUACUCGAGUGGCGAACGGGUGAGUAACACGUGGGCAAUCUGCCCUGCACUUCGGGAUAAGCCUGGGAAACUGGGUCUAAUACCGAAUAGGACCUCAAGACGCAUGUCUUCUGGUGGAAAGCUUUUGCGGUGUGGGAUGGGCCCGCGGCCUAUCAGCUUGUUGGUGGGGUGAUGGCCUACCAAGGCGACGACGGGUAGCCGGCCUGAGAGGGUGUCCGGCCACACUGGGACUGAGAUACGGCCCAGACUCCUACGGGAGGCAGCAGUGGGGAAUAUUGCACAAUGGGCGCAAGCCUGAUGCAGCGACGCCGCGUGGGGGAUGACGGCCUUCGGGUUGUAAACCUCUUUCAGCAGGGACGAAGCGCAAGUGACGGUACCUGCAGAAGAAGCACCGGCCAACUACGUGCCAGCAGCCGCGGUAAUACGUAGGGUGCGAGCGUUGUCCGGAAUUACUGGGCGUAAAGAGCUCGUAGGUGGUUUGUCGCGUUGUUCGUGAAAACCGGGGGCUUAACCCUCGGCGUGCGGGCGAUACGGGCAGACUAGAGUACUGCAGGGGAGACUGGAAUUCCUGGUGUAGCGGUGGAAUGCGCAGAUAUCAGGAGGAACACCGGUGGCGAAGGCGGGUCUCUGGGCAGUAACUGACGCUGAGGAGCGAAAGCGUGGGGAGCGAACAGGAUUAGAUACCCUGGUAGUCCACGCCGUAAACGGUGGGUACUAGGUGUGGGUUUCCUUCCUUGGGAUCCGUGCCGUAGCUAACGCAUUAAGUACCCCGCCUGGGGAGUACGGCCGCAAGGCUAAAACUCAAAGGAAUUGACGGGGGCCCGCACAAGCGGCGGAGCAUGUGGAUUAAUUCGAUGCAACGCGAAGAACCUUACCUGGGUUUGACAUGCACAGGACGCCGGCAGAGAUGUCGGUUCCCUUGUGGCCUGUGUGCAGGUGGUGCAUGGCUGUCGUCAGCUCGUGUCGUGAGAUGUUGGGUUAAGUCCCGCAACGAGCGCAACCCUUGUCUCAUGUUGCCAGCGGGUAAUGCCGGGGACUCGUGAGAGACUGCCGGGGUCAACUCGGAGGAAGGUGGGGAUGACGUCAAGUCAUCAUGCCCCUUAUGUCCAGGGCUUCACACAUGCUACAAUGGCCGGUACAAAGGGCUGCGAUGCCGCAAGGUUAAGCGAAUCCUUUUAAAGCCGGUCUCAGUUCGGAUCGGGGUCUGCAACUCGACCCCGUGAAGUCGGAGUCGCUAGUAAUCGCAGAUCAGCAACGCUGCGGUGAAUACGUUCCCGGGCCUUGUACACACCGCCCGUCACGUCAUGAAAGUCGGUAACACCCGAAGCCAGUGGCCUAACCCUUUUGGGAGGGAGCUGUCGAAGGUGGGAUCGGCGAUUGGGACGAAGUCGUAACAAGGUAGCCG
rnacentral:rRNA from 1 species